rnacentral:rRNA from 1 species
GACGAACGCUGGCGGCGUGCUUAACACAUGCAAGUCGAACGGAAAGGCCCUGCUUGCAGGGUACUCGAGUGGCGAACGGGUGAGUAACACGUGGGUGAUCUGCCCUGCACUUCGGGAUAAGCCUGGGAAACUGGGUCUAAUACCGGAUAGGAGCCAUUUUUAGUGUGAUGGUUGGAAAGUUUUUUCGGUGUAGGAUGAGCUCGCGGCCUAUCAGCUUGUUGGUGGGGUAAUGGCCUACCAAGGCGGCGACGGGUAGCCGGCCGGGGAGGGUGGACGGCCACAUUGGGACUGGGAUACGGCCCAGACUCCUACGGGAGGCAGCAGUGGGGAAUAUUGCACGAUGGGCGCAAGCCUGAUGCAGCGACGCCGCGUGGGGGAUGACGGCCUUCGGGUUGUAAACUCCUUUCGCUAGGGACGAAGCUUUUUGUGACGGUACCUAGAUAAGAAGCACCGGCUAACUACGUG